AAGGAGCGGGCAGCUGGAAGCUGCGCCAGGUGCCACAGGGUCUCCAUUGCCGAUAUAGAGCAGCCUGGGACAGGGAGGGUCUCUUGGAAUUUGUAAACCAAAAGCCCCUUCAGCCACUUCCCAGCCUUUCUCUAGGCAGACAUUCUCCCCACUUCUCUCAUCUAUGCACAACGCUGCAAGCCCCAGCACAGGAUAAGGCUAACAUCAGCUGAGAGUUUCACUGAGGAUAGACCGCGCUUUUAGGAGGAGGACAAGGGGCUUCAGACUCACCUGGUUCUCAAGGAGGAGGAGGCAAGAGAAGUGGAUGAGAGAGCAGGGACCUGGCCUGCCUUUUAUAUCUGCCCAUCACUGCCGCAGGACCAGAGGUGCCUUUGCAGAGGUUUGGGCCAUGCCUGUUUCCCAAUGAAGGCUUCUUCUGAGCACAGGCAUGAAAGGCCUUGGGAUUUCUGAGUCAGGAAUGCAGCAGUCCUGGCAGAAGACUUAGCUCAAGUGCUGGAUGCGUCCUUAGAAGGCCAGUGACAUUAGUCUGGGUCACUCGAGUUUCUCAGGAAGAAGCUCCAGCCAUUCUCGGCAGGAAGGAAGCCCAAGGGUUCCUGGCUAUGAGGAUGUGCCACAUGCAUGUCUGAGUACACACUGGAAAAGAAUUGGUACAUAAUUCUACACUGAUGUGCAUGA